AUUCAACUGACGAGUCCAAAAUAGGACAAAACGCACGUCAUGGAU
rnacentral:hammerhead_ribozyme from 1 species